GGAAGAUCUCCAGUUUGACAGGCGCACUUUUUGACCUCAUGCAGUCUUUUUGAUGUAAGGUUCCACUUCUUCCUGAAAAGUUUGAAAUUUUUGAGGCCAUGUUCUGAGCAUUUACCUCAACCAUCUUGUCAGAAAGAAACACAUUUCUCCAAACUGAGCCUGUUCAAAAAACUAUCUGCAACAGGUAAGAUACUAAAUGUUCAUAUUUCCACAGAAUCUCUUGAAAAAAAAAAUUGUAACUUUUUCAACCUGCAGAUUCAAAGUCACAGUUGCUCCUUUUAUCAAGACAAUCCACUUCAAACAAUAAAAAUAUCAAUCUUUAUUCUUUCAGAUAGCAUAUCAAAGAUACCAAACCUYAGUCUACAAUGACACAAACGACACAAGAACUAUACAACAGUACACAAAGUUUAAUUCACUUUAUCUGAUAAGACACAUUAGUUCUUCUCAAUUUUGUUUAGAAAAUAAUUUUGGGUAAACUCAACAUUGCAUUUGAAAAUCAGACUGGUAUAAAUAGAUUUAUCCUAUAAAACAUCCCUUGAGCUUUUGUGAUAUCAAAAAUAUUCACUUUUUAGCUGCUGAAAUCUGUUUGCAUUAAUUUACGGGCAAGAUUUAUUUUUUAUUUUUUCCAGACACCAAUCCUUCAUCACAGUCGUAACAGAAAAUCUGCAGCAUGUGGUUGUAAUAUUAUGCAUGUAAUUGUCAUGUUGGAAAGAAUAAUUCUAUAAUGAAUAAAGUUGUUUGAUGUUAAACACRGAGCAGUCUCAAAAAUAGGGAACAUGCUGAAAGAAUGGAAACGACCUACAAUUUUAAUCACAGUUUAAGACCUGCAUUAAACUUAAGUGGAAUCAAUUGGAUUACAUUAAACUACACAUAUAAAUACCUACUCAUAAGUAAACACUAUAUACUGUAUGUGCUUUUUUUAAGAACAAGAAAUGCAUUUUUAUUUGGUUUACAGUCGGAAAUAUGGACAAAACAGCUGCAUGGGACAACCGCUGCACUCCCAUCUUGUACAACAAUAUUAGAACAUCAACAUAAGCAAUAAAAUUACAACAGUAAAUGAGCAAUGUAAGAGGAAACACACAACAUGGUUGGCAAUAUAUAGAAAGACAUGGUAAGGUUUGGCAAAAAGGUUUCGUUAAAACAUCUCAACAGAAAAAAAUGACAAGGGGUUCUCCUUUUUCUGCAAACUGCUCCACACUACCACUGCUUUCUUUUCAUUUUACAGUGUGGAGGUGUCGACGACAUUAUCCAUAUAUAGAGCUAAUCUAAAUGUCCCUACUGUAACCCUAGUGACUAUACAAUCUAUACACCACAGCACAAAACAAACCAGGCAGGUUGCUUCAUUUUAAAUGAUGUUGUUUGUUCCCAUCUGGACAG